rnacentral:tRNA from 1 species
GCUGAUAUGGCUCAGUUGGUAGAGCGCACCCUUGGUAAGGGUGAGGUCCCCAGUUCGACUCUGGGUAUCAGCAUCA